AUUCGCUUUUUCCAUUCUAAACGAUUUUGAAUUAAAUCAAAGUAAGCUUUUCCCCUCUUAAUCUUAAUUCCUUUCUUUUGUAUGUAAGCAUAUUCACACUUUAAGCAUCAUUCUCACAGGAUCUAUCUUCCAAUCCCAUGUCUUCAACUUCCCAAUCGUUACGGAAUGGGAUUGCUUUCCAAAAAGAAAAAGGACUAAUGAUCAUAGUUAUUGAGGUAUAUUUUUGGUAUUUAGCAACAAUUGUUUUGUAUUUUUUAAGGAAAGAGGCAAGGAAAGCAACACAAUGAGCAUGAAAUUCAACUACUAAACAAGAAUUUUAUUAUACAUUGGCUCAUCUGCUGUGUGCGUGUUCUGCAUUUUCUUUACCUUUACAGUUUUCUUAUUUUCUACUCAUGACUGAUGUAUAGUGUACCAGAAAAAAGAAAAAAGACUGAUGUAUAGGACUAAAAUGAUUCUAAUUCACAAAUAAAUUAACAUCUAUGGUUGUUAAGUGGGUGUAGGACAAUUGAUUUCACAAGAGACAUCACUAGAAUGAAGGUCACCACAGGAAAGAAAAAGAAAAAUUACUAGAAAGAUAUGGAAAUUCUGUUUCGUUACAGAUGGUAACGUGGAAUUUUAGAGUGGAUACAUAAAUUUUCUUCAAGGCAAAAUUGAACUGGGGAUGAUAAUAUCCCCAAUGUUAUUGUGCCAUGGAUCAGCCAAGUGAGUUGCCAAGUUCUCCAACGGUCCAGUCCCUGGGUAAGCUGAUUGUUGCACACAGAAUCCCACAAAUGCCAACAGUGCUAGCCGACCUACACAUCAAAUUUUGCUCAAAUCAAUUAAUCCUAUUGAACGAGCUCCCAGCCAUUGAUACAAUAUCUUAGUAACAGUUGUAAAUUAAGAUUUAAUCAUAGCCGUCCAUUUGUAAUGGAGCCCAUUACUAUGGAUAAACAAGAUCUUGCAGUUGAAACCAGCAGGAGUUUAAGAGGUACUUACCAUUCUUGAUUUCUUUGACCUUGUAUUCAUGGAACUUUUUAGGGUCCUUGGAGUAGCCCAAAGGAUCAAAAGCACCACCAGGGUACUUCCUCUUCUCAGGAUCUUUCUCCAUGCUGCGUUGGUGCUCAACGAAGGAAAUAGCUAGGAACUCGAUGAUCAAAAUGGUUGGGAGGGUUCCCCAUGGAACUGGUUGGCCCAAGUAGGUAGCUUGACCACCAGGAAUUGCAGCCCACUCUUGUGCCUUCACCCAGUUGCCCAACCCCAAGGCCUCUGGUACUAGGAUUCCAGGAACUGCAAGCAUAGCCCAUCUGCAGUGGAUGAGUUCAGACUCCUUGAAUCUCUCAAGGUUCUCGGGGACCUCACCUAGACGAAGUGGGUCGAACCCGAAGUCACCAGGCGCCGAGCCAUCGAGAUAAGGAGGGCGGGGCUGGCCAGGCAUCCAAUCAGCAGACAUUGUGAUACGAGAGGAGCCAUUGACACUAGGAAGAGGGAUUGAAGAAGCGAAUUUGGACUUAGAAGAUGAGAGAAGAGAAGGGAAAGCAGUGGC
rnacentral:misc_RNA from 1 species